AAAAUUCAGCAAGAUUGUGAAGGAUUAGAGUCAUAAAUCGCAUGCUAGUGUCUAAAUACUCUCUAAUCCAAGAACGAAAGAAGAAGGAGCUAGUACCGGAUCACAAACAAAGGCCCAAGACCGAGUAUGUUCUGGAUGGUGUGAGUCGCGACCAGGAGGGAGGAACAAGGGGGAAACCCUAAUUACAUCAAUCAACACCAAAAUUCAGCAAGAUUGUGAAGGAUUAGAGUCAUAAAUCGCAUGCUAGUGUCUAAAUACUCUCUAAUCCAAGUGUUUUGAACAUAAGGAACGAAAGAAGAAGGAGCUAGUACCGGAUCACAAACAAAGGCCCAAGACCGAGGUAAAGCACCCGUAUGAUUGUCAUUGCGUCGCUCGGAUACGAACACACCUUGAUCACCCGUGAUGCGCUUCCGCAAGCUUUUGUAGUAACCUUAAUUGUUAAAGGCUUUCGUUAAAGUUAGUAGUGUUGAAGUUUUAUGUCUUAACUAGAUGUUUGUGAAUACUUAAGUAACUUAGACUUGAUGUUUGAAACGGUAGUUUAAAUGUUAUGGUCUUUCGUAUGUUGUUUUUCUGAAGGUGUCAUUAUUUGAGUACUUUGAUAUAUUAUAAACAGGGAGAUUGUUCAAAUUGCGAACGGGUCAUGCC
rnacentral:lncRNA from 1 species